AACAAUUUUUUUUUUAUUUUUGGUCAGCUCAUGAGGCACCCAGUUGUAGAGCUCUUUCACCUUUCCAAUCUGCUUCAAAUGCCAAAUGACCAUAGAAUGGUCAAUGUCAAGUUCUUGGGCAACUUCUCAUAUAGUUGUAAGGGGAUCAUCUUUCAUGAUUGCUCUCAAUUGGUUGUUGUCAACUUCUGAUAGAAAGAUGCUAUGCUCAUCUUCAAGGCUCUUGUCUUCUUUGCAAAACUUGAACUAUCACUGCCCUGCAUGUUCAUUAGCAGUUCCUAAGCCAAAUGUGUUGUUGAUGUUGUGAGUUGUCCCCACUGCCUUAUGACCCAUUUUGAACUCAAUUAAGAAAAUUACUUGAAUUUGCUCUUUGUGUAGCAUCAUUUCCAUAGCGUAAAAUAAAUAGAAAAGAAAUAGUAAGUAAUCAUUAGCAAAAAAGCAAGAAGUGUGCAUUAAAAUGACGUAUAACAUAACCACAUUUAUUUAAGCAUGCAUUCCAAUAUCAAACAGCAAAUUCUAACCAUGCAAAAACUACCAUUACUUUUGCAUCAACCUAAUAAUUAGGUAUCAUUAUAAAUUAGACAUCAUUAUAAAAAGGGUAUAUUCUCUUGACAUUUCACCUAUGUGAAAUGCCAUGCAACUGAUACAAAUCCACAAUAUUAACUAAGUUAUUCACAUAAAAAUCAACAUAUUUUAUCAAGUUUUGAAGGUUAUUAUAUUACCAUUCAUUUCAUCAACAAAUAUUUACAGAAUGCCUACUUCCUGUCAGGCUUUGUUCUAGAGCUAUAGGCAUAGUGAUAAAUGAGACAAAUUGAAUUUUUCCCUUCCUACCUCUUAGAUUCUAGCAGGGAAGUCAGCCAAUAAGCAAGGAAAUAAAAACAUAAUUUUAUAUAAAGUCAGGGUAAAAUAUGAGGAGAUGAGAGAGUGAUAAUUUAAAUACACUUGAGGAUCAGAAAGGCAUCUUUGAGGAGGUGAUAGUGAGGAAGGAACAAACUGAAGGGAGGCAAUGAUCCUUGAGAAGAGAUGAAGUCACGCAAUUCCAGGCAAAGGCAAAAAUAACUGCAAAGGUGCUAAGCCAGGAAGAAGCUGGGUACAUAACAAAAAGGGCAAGAAGUCCCAUAUGGCUGGUGCAGAAUGAACAUGGGGUCAGUAACAAAAGAUGAGAUUAGACAUGUAUGCUGCAGCCAGAUCAGGCUAUGGUAAAUACUAUGAAAAUUCCUAAUUUUUGUGUGUGUGUGUGUGUUUGUGUGUGUGUCUGUCUGUCUGGAGUGGGGGGUGUUGUGUAAUAAAAACUCCAGAGCUAAAUUGUAAACAUAAAACUAAUAGAUUAUUAUCUAAGUAAAAAAGAGGAAGCCAUAUAGGCAGGCUUUUGAUUACCUCAGGUCCUGUGGAAGAGCAAAAAAUUAUAUAAGCCAAGGACCAUGAGGUAUUAAACUCCGGUGAGGUGUAACAAAAUAGUCUAGGGUCACUUGUUUGGAGGUAUGAGAAGGGAGAAUCUGGACUUGACAGGAGGCUAUAUGACUCAUACAUUCUCUGAUGUCGGCUCCCAAUCUUAUUUCUUAGGAGAGAGGAUCUGUCAGUAAAGAAAAGAUAAAUGAAUGAGCGAGUUUGUUUGCCUUAAUAUUGGAUUUAAUAUGAGAGGUUAAAAAUGAAUGGUCCAACUUGAACUUCUAUUUCUAAUAAUAUUUCAGAUUAGAAGGUCUCAGAUACUACUCCUAGCAUAGCAUAGCUGAAAAUGCUAUAAGGGGACUCUUCUGUCAUGGGAUCCUUGGGUUGUUGCUUCACCAGCCAGAAAACUUUGUGGCCAGUGGUGCCUUUGCCUGAGUUUUGCUCGAGCCCGCUGCGCUCGUUCUGCCCACUCAGCCUAGCAGUGUGCCUGGCUUUUGUUACCAGCCCAGUUCCCACGCCUGCCAAGGGUGAGCCACACGUGAAACAAUGAGGGGUGGGUAAGCGAGCAAGCACAAGGUCCAGCCACUGUGUGCAGCCAUGCAUGCCAGCUGCAGUGGGGCAGGCAGCUCUAGGCGCCGACACAGGCACUGGCUCUCUGCAAGGCUGCGACUGGACCAGGUGUACUAUAGGUGGCUUCCACUGUGGGCACCAGGGAAUGCAGUGGCACCCAGAAGCUUGAAGAUGCCAGGAACCACAGAGCCCCAAGAGGGUGUCACAUCCCUGGCUUGGGGUGCUCCUAGGUCUGGAAUCCCUGAAGGGCUGCAGCUCUUCUCUCCUUCUUUAUUCUCUUCUUGUCACCUGCAACGUGAUCUGCCAGAAAAAGAGAACUCGAAAGAAAAAUAAGCAGAUGUAAACAGACAUUUCAUUGGAAAGGAAAUCACUAUUCACAACAGCAAAGUGAUGAAACCAACCUAAGUGUCCAUCACUGAUUGACUGGAUAAAGAAGAUGUGGUAUAUAUGCACCAUGGAAUACUAUGCAACCAUCCUGCAUUUCUAAUGGCUAGAAAUUCCUGCCAUUAAUUUCAUUCCUUUAGAUUACACAACUUCAAUAAAGGUAUGGGCGUUGUCCUCUAUAAAGC
rnacentral:lncRNA from 10 species